rnacentral:rRNA from 1 species
CCUACGGGAGGCAGCAGUGAGGAAUAUUGGUCAAUGGACGGAAGUCUGAACCAGCCAUGCCGCGUGCAGGAAGACGGCUCUAUGAGUUGUAAACUGCUUUUGUACGAGGGUAAAACUGAAUACGUGUAUUCAGCUGAAAGUACCGUAAGAAUAAGGAUCGGCUAACUCCGUGCCAGCAGCCGCGGUAAUACGGAGGAUCCAAGCGUUAUCCGGAUUUAUUGGGGUUAAAGGGUGCGUAGGCGGGUCGGUAAGUUAGAGGUGAAAUGUCCGGGCUUAACCCGGGAACUGCCUCUAAUACUGUUGAUCUGGAGUGUGGGUGAGGUAGGCGGAAUGUGUGGUGUAGCGGUGAAAUGCUUAGAGAUCAUACAGAACCCCGAUUGCGAAGGCAGCUUACCG